ensembl:ncRNA lncRNA:CR44786 long non-coding RNA:CR44786
UAAUGUUUAAAUUGAAAUCUCUCACCACGAGAUCGUUUCGGCUUGAAAUGCCAGCACUGAGUAAUUGCUGGAGAUCGGGAAGUUAGAGAGGAAAAUGGAAAGCCACGCGACGGGGCACAGCAAAUUCAGCGCUGGGCCAAUCAAGAAGUCAACGUCUGUGUGGGGAAGUGGUAGGGGAGAAGACGGGAGAAGAAAAUCCAAGCAAAUCCAAGUAGAAACAAACAAACAAAUCCACCAGAUGCAUUUGCUCUGCACAGAUACAAUUUAGAUAAUUUGUAUCUCAACAUUGUUGUCAGGCUGCGAGCGCUGACUGACAGAUGUUUUGAUUUGUGGGGGCCAAGAACACAUUUGCCCCAUUUCUUGGUAUGCGAAUGAAGUGUAUUUGUAUGCGGUAAAUGGUGAAUGCUAGCUGGUAUAUAAUAUCCCCGAGAUGCGCAGCAGUGCCUCUUGAAAUCAAAACAAAUAUCGAAAGAUGCCAAGCACCCAAUUAAACCGCUAGCCAGCGGAAUCAGUGAGAGAUUUAUGAGCAAUGCUCCUGGUAUUUAUGGCCCACUCUUGAAUUCCAUCCCCAGAAAGGAUGGGGCCACUCGCUUGGGAGUCACUAGAGCUCAAGCCCAUUAAAAGCGCAUAAAACACGAAGCUAACUAAAACGUUAAACACUUGCAUGUUUGUUGUUUUCGCAAGCGGGUGAAAAUAAAUAUAUCAGAUCAGCAAUCAAUACCUGGCGGGCACUCUCCGGAUAAGAUUGGGAUUCUGCCUGGCCAAUUAACGCCAUCAAAUCGUCGAACACCCAUCGCGAUCCAUUUGGGAGCAGCCAAUUGAAAUGCCGCAUAGCAAUCUGCAUGAAUUUGAAAGGCGUUUUUCAUAAUGCCCGCAAACGAUUUGAGGUAGGAAAAUCCCAUUACGAGCUGAUGUAUCACAUGAGCGUUGAAUUUCAGAAACUAUUAGAUUCCGAAAUAGAAAAUCACUCUCUUCGCCCUUUUAAGUUUGUUUUUAGAUAUAGUCGAUUACCUCGUCUAUCAGAUACCUAUUACUCAGCCGGUCGCACAUUGAUAUAAAUUGCCAAUAAAAUUAAGGAAAGGGUAAAAGUGAAAACAUUUUUAAAAAUUGGGAGCAUGCCUGCUGUUUGCGGCUUUUUAUUGGCUUAUUUACAGAAAUAACCAAGUCAAAUAGCAAAAUAAAAAAUCGUUUACACAAACUUAUUGUCUUGGAGUAUUCGAAUAGUGAUCCUGAUCAAGAAUAUAUGUACAUACAUAUAUACCUAUGUAUUCGGAAACUCUUCCGUCUUUCCUUUAUGUAUAGCAUUCUCUCUUGUUUUUUAUGCGUUAUAUCGGUAAUUAGGUAUAUUUUGGUGAAUGUGCUUGACCAUAUAUUUAAAUCUUUAAAUUGCUUGUUUUAGUUAAGCAUUUUAUUAUUCAAAGCGGAAAUCUGAAAAGGAAAGAACGCAUAAAUCUAUGGAGAAUGCCAGCACGGGUACAGCAGUAAAUAACACCACUGGUUAAUACCUCCGAUUUCAAUUGUAUUUGAAUGGCCCAGGUCAAUUGAUCACUGCCACCACCACCACCCACUUAGAGCUCCGUGUUGUUUAUAUGUGCGCCCACAAAUCAAGGCAUAACCUUAAAACAAUAACCCAUUCAUACAUCAGCGUCACAGCGAGACAGUUUAUUUGCUUAAUUUUGUUUUAUAAACUCACCUGCCUCGGCACUUGCCUUCUUUGUGGAGACAUCAAUCAAGCAGGAAGCAGGGGAACGCCGGCCGGAGAAAUCGAAAUACUAGCGCCGUUUUUUAUGGAAGCCCAGAAUAUCACCUGCGAAAAGGAGAACGCGUGGCUCAAUCAAUUUUCCGAGCGGACGAAAACCAAAGCUUGUUGAAUGAAAGAGCGAUCGUCGGUGAUCCAUCCAUCUACCAUCCAUCAUAAUGCGAGUUAGGCCCGAAUCGAGAAUUAAUCCGUCAAAACCGGCCUGCGCGCGGCACAUUGCCAAAUUCACAAUUGAUCAAUGGGCCUUUGCUGGCGGCAAAGCGCGGUCAGCAGCGGUAAACCUUCGCCAGGCUUUGGCCACUGGUCAGUAAAGGCAAAGAAACAGCUGAGGAGCGGAGCCCCAAAACAAACGAGGCAAAUUAAGUGGUUUAAGGCGCUAAGACCGUUGAUGGAUGUGCCGCUGGCAAAUGCCAUAUAAAGAUAUACCUGUGCAUGUUAUCAAUUACAAAGAGGCAGCGCCCACAAUCGGACCAAUUAGCCAGUCAGGGCAGUCAGGCCAGUCAGCGGUGAUCAAAGGGUUUCACGCCGCUUUCACAUUUGAGCCGUUGCCGUUCCGCUGGCGCCCACAACCCACCGCCCACCACGCACCCACCCAGCGCUCGAGGAAUUGGGAAAAUGGGGUGGCCACCUUUACUCUUUCUAUCCAAUCCGACCUUCGAUCCGGCAGCCAUCGCUCCACGCCACUGGAUUUGCAUCUGGCGCUAUUAGCACAUUGACCGAACAGCCCAAAAGCCGAAUCGCACUGGCUGAGGUCAUAGUUAUAAACGACGGUAUCGGGUCCCAAGCCUGAUGGUUUUUCCCUUGCUCGACAUCGUCGUAUCGAUAAUUGGCGGCGCUAUUGGGGGAUUGGAUGGAUGGACAAUCCCCGACUUCUCCACGACUGGAGGCGUCAAAAUUACAUCCACUAAGUCUGGUGUAUUAUUGGAUCAUAUAGCACGUUUCGACAUCGGAAAGAAAGGCGUAUUGUGAAACAGUUAUGUCUUGAUAGAAUUUGUUAAUUUGAUUCCCUUUACAAACAACAGUACAACAAAAAUUGUGAACUCAGCACAUAGUUAAUAUACCCAU